UCCUGCUUGGACCUGUAGUUACUUCAGCACCUGUCCAGAUCCUGAGGGAAUGUAAUUCUGGCCAUCACCUCUGAGCUCACUCUUUGCACACAGAGGAGAAGGAGGAGAGAGGAUGUACUUUCGUGGGCAUUCAAAAUGGAGUGAAAUGAUGGAAAUGUUCACUCAGAGUUGUUAACAAAACUUGGUGUGAGCGAGUCAGAGAGCUAAUACAGCUGGGAGUAAAUCCUUGGUGCAGGAAGAUGACUUCUGAGGAUGUCUUCACUGCAAAGGUUUUUUUUUCUCUAAGGCAUUUUGAAACAGAUGAACUUAACUGUGGACUGCAAAAUGCUACAUGAUCUCUCAACAAGACCACCUGUAAAAAAAAGUUUUGGGAGUUGACAGUCCAGGGAGGUGAGUCCACAUGAUGGUGACUGGCUUCUGGGGACAGAAGAAAAGAACACUUCUAAAACCCACUAAUACACAGGCAGCGUGGAGGAGAAAAUGAAAGACAAGCCAGAGCAACUCCAGAUUUUCUAGAAGAAAGCAUCACAAAAACAGGUCGCAAUUUCUAACCAUCGCACUGAACUCUACCUAUACAGGAUUCUACUGAAUUUGAUGGUAGGGACCUGUGGCUGCAAGUAUAAAAUUGGAAAUAAGCCUGUACAGUAGGAACUACAGCACGUUGAGUUACAUCUAUGCUCUGUGAUCAGAGUAACUCCAGUAACUCACAGUAACUCCAUGUUGAAGACCAGCCACAUUCAAAGGACACAAGAACAAAAUUCUAAAAGCAAGUCUCACCUUAAGAGCUGCUGCAUGAUGGGACAUGGUCCUGCCUACCCGCUUGUCACUGCUGUACUGCUGUAUGUCUGCUAUCCACUCCUCACACUGAGCCAUGAUCUCCACUCUUUUCAAGUAAAAAUGUUUGUGGAUGACCUGCAAGAAAAGAUUCAGGAUGAAAGAACAUAAUGUUGUUAUCUAAGAACCAUAUACUUCAACAGUACAAAACCUGCAAGACCAAUCAUGAACCCAAAUUGACGUAAGGAGAAAAACCAAAACACUAUGGGGAUAAUUCAGCAUUGAACCAAGAGGUGGAGGUUGGCCUCUAUAUAGUUUAAAAAGCAAACAAAACACCAACAAAUCACACAAAGUUGUGAAAUUCUUAGUGUUGGCUUUGUCUUAACAGCUUUCUAGAACUCUGCCUGUUGGAAGAAACAAUAAAAUUAAAGAAAUUUUA